UGCAUGAAUAGUUAAUAUCGCUUCUAAGUACUCGUAUUUAUCAAAAUACAUUUCAAAUCGCGAUGAGAAAUAAUUAUUUCCCGAGUGAAGUACACUCACUUCCGCCCCUCUUUGAUAGAGUAUGAUUACCAAGAGAUACAACGAAAAAUGAAAUAAAAUUUCCACAUAAAAUUAUUCAGUAUAUUAUUGUGCACUUAUUGCUGAAAUUUAGGUAAGUUUGUUGCACAUUAUAUUUAUGACUCAUAUACAUAUAUAUCAUUCACUAAUGGUGUAUUUCUAAGAUAAAUGCGUUAUGAUAAGUACCUAAGUAUCUAAUGAAAAAUCGCAUGUUGAAUAAGUCCGGACCAAUUCUCAGAUUUUAGUAGGUAGCACUAAAAGGCACUGCAUGAAUUUCACACUAUAACCAGUUUUGAAUAUCAGUUAGGAGUACCCAUGGAAGAAUUCACUACGAUGUACUUGAACCGUACAACAGAUGAAUUCGCUACAAUCAACAACCAUACUGAAGAACUCUAUGUAAUAGUAGUAACCGACAGGGCGGAUAAUGGGGAACGCGAACUCCUCAUGCUAUCAGCUCUUUUGCUCCAGAUGUUUCAGAGAUGUGCACAUUUGACAUCAACCAUAACAUUACUUAUCCAUUUUUACAAGUUUUUUCAAAGUACGUCACCUCAAAGUUUAGCUACUAAAAAUCUCACUGUGUACAGUUUUAUUUUAUUCUUGAACUACGCUUUGCCAUUCGUACAACUCAUCUCCUACACGUUGAAUAUUUCACGGUCAUUCAGUGAUAUUUACUAUUUCGCAUAUAAAUAUUUAUACUUAACGACAGCAUUUUUCAAAUUAAUUAUGGCUGUAGACUUAUGCUCGACAUUUCGUAAAAUUGCUUUAUAUUUACAAUCGCCUCUUGCAUGUGAAGCCCGCAAAAAAUGUUUUAUUCAUGGUAUUUUAGGUAUGAGUAUUCCUUUGGUCUACAUGAUAAUAGUUACAGUAUAUCCAUCACUAUAUCGUAGCCUCAUUAAUUUCACAUAUUAUCGAGGUGAAACAGGUGAGGUAAUUAUCAUUCAUAUUUUGCGUUUAUUUCCGAUUAUUGGAGCAUUUUGGUACAUAGGAACAGCCAGUAUGAAUAAAUCUGAAUUAUGUACAAAAUUUUCUUUGCAUGCACGACUUCUAGUGAUGCUAGGUGGAUUAACAGUGGCGCAUCUAUUUACACUUAUAUUCGUAUUUACUGAUGUAAAUGAUCCACUUUUGUAUUUGCAUGUUUCUGAAAAUCCAAUUAUGUAUAUAGAACUUGUAAAAACGUACGGUAUUUAUUUUGAAGGUAUUGCUAUUGCUAAAUAUUUCACGUUCAAUAAACAAACAUUUAAACCUUUGAAUACAUGCAACUAAAAUGCAGAUAGUAAAUUUGGACAUUUAUUUACUACACGGAAAAAUUUUUUAAUAAAAAUUACUAUUUCAGUGUAGUAACCGGAUCCCAUUCAAAAAUAAUAGUGAUUUUUACUCAGCCAAAAAAUACAUUUUACCUAGAAAUUAGGUAAAAUUUAUUACUCUCAUAGUAAAAUUUACUAAUCUCAAAGUAAAAAUCACAAUAUUUUUGAAUGGGAUCCGGUUACUGUGUGAAAUAGUAAAAAUUAUCCAUAAUUUUUUUUUCGUGUAGUAUUAUACAGACUAAGAUCUAUGCCGCCACGCACGCCACAGCCGCGUGAAAACUUUGUUACUUCAGGGUGCACAUUUAUUCUAUAUAGGUAGGUAGUGGUACGUACGUACUUCGUGACUAUAUGUUCGUUUGUUUGUUUGUUUGUUUUUUUUUUGAUUUUUCAAAUAAUGAAGAAUAUAAUUUUAUUUCACACUUCUUAGUUAUUUUUCGUUAUGAUGAGAGAGAGUAUCUGCUUCACAAUCUCUGGCUUGCUGAUAGCUCGGUAGUAAGUAGAGGUACGUAGCAAGUAAGCUAGGUAUGAACAAUGUACAGGGUGCACAAAAAUAUCGUGAACCCCAAAAAAAGUUUUUCAUUAAAAAUAUAGGUUGGCAACGUGAAACAGAUGCAUAUGAUUGGUGGAAUGCUAACCGGUGACUGACGUUCGCUUGACACAUCUUUUGUCGUCAUUAGAGGAAAAAAUGACGUUCACAAAUUUUCAGUGCUGAUAAUCGAUUUGCAACAACAAAGAGAUAGAAAUAACCAUAUAUGGGCAUACGUAGUGAUACAAUAUCCAGUUUCACGCUAGUGAUUUUCGCCUCGCCCUCCUUUGAAAAAAACGUGAAUAGAUUAAUUAAGUAUCACCCGAGUUUUUGGAAAAUGAAACAUUUAGUUCGUGCAUAAAUGAUAAUAGUGAUUUCCCAGAUAUACUUUAUCUAACGUGUGCAAAACUGGAAAGUUGGGAAAGUUGUUGCAUUUGUAUUCGUUGUAGUUUCAAUACGUAAAUAUAGACCUACAUAACUACGAGUAUUUACACAACAAGAUAAUCUCACGAUUCGACGAAAAUUUGAACACAGAAAAUAUCAUUACAGAAAUUGGGAAAAUUUGAAUUCAAUCAGAUGGGGAUUUCUGAUUCAAACACUUACUGAUAGACUUAUACAUACAAAAAUCAUUCGAGAUCAGUUUUCGUACUGCGUAAGUAACAACAUUGCUGCAACCAAAUAACCAUGCAAUCACUAAUGCAAGUAUUGUGUUUACUCUUUGCCACAAUCAUAUAUGGACUUUCAACCAGCUGUGUAGUUAUUCAUUUAUAUAAAUUCUUUCACAAUGCAAUACGCACAUACAGUUUGCCGACUAAAACCCUCACUUUCUAUUGUUUUUUAUUACUGAUAUUCUAUUUUUUCUCGCUGCUGACGUUUUUUGCAGUAUAUUUCCUAGCAUAUAACUGCUUACCAAUUUUAGCACAUGUUCUUGGAUAUACUAUGUUGGUAAUGGCAUUUUUCAAAUUAAUUAUCACGAUAGAUAUAUGCUUCGACUGCAUAAAAGUCGUUUUCAACCAGCAACCCGAUUUAUCAGAUCCUAAAAAUGGAAAGUUCUUGUGUUAUUGUCUCAUAAGUAUGGGAAUUUCGUUGCUAUAUUAUUAUUUUUGGUUUGUAUUUAAAACAGAAAAUAUUUCAGAAUUCCGAUUUCAUUCUUAUUAUCCAUCCACUUGGACUCUUCGAGUGUUAUGUUUGCCGCCAAUCGUUGGUACAUUUUGCAUUUUAAAAUUUGCGAAAAUUGAUGAGGCUGAAUUUCGAGCAAUGUUUUCCGAGCACAUACGUGUUCUUCUUAUGUUGGUGGGAUUUUGUGGAAUCUUGUGUGCUGCAGAAUUUUGUGAAACUGUUGAUAUUGUAUUUAGGAAUGUUUCGCCACAGAAAGUACAAUUCAUUACCAGUUUUCUGAAAGGUCUCAUUAUAGGAAUAUGUUUUACAUUUAAUAAAGAUCAAUUUCACGUGAUUGAUACUUCUGAUGUUGAUUGAAAAUCUUUUCAAUUUGUCUUUCGAAUGAUGAUCGGGUUAGGUAGUAAUCAUGUGAAAAUGAAUGAAUGCGAUCCGUUACAUUAAGACAUAAGCCUAAAAGUUGAAAAUACAAAUAAGUUUUGCAGUCAAUGUCACUGAUUUUAAAUAGAUAAUAAGAAUGUUAUACAUGUAAAUACACAGCCACUUUUGUAUUCAUUAAUUCAAAUACACAUAAAUAAACUUUUCGAAUUUUAA